UACGUAGGGGCAAGCGUUGUCCGGAUUUCUUGGGCGUAAAGAGCGUGUAGGCGGCCAUACAGGUCAGCUGUGAAAACUCGAGGCUCAACCUCGAGACGUCGGUUGAAACCGUAUGGCUAGAGUCCGGAAGAGGAGAGUGGAAUUCCCGGUGUAGCGGUGAAAUGCGCAGAUAUCGGGAAGAACACCCGUGGCGAAGGCGGCACUCUGGGACGGUACUGACGCUGAGACGCGAAAGCGUGGGGAGCGAACAGG
rnacentral:rRNA from 1 species